rnacentral:rRNA from 1 species
UACGAAGGGGGCUAGCGUUGUUCGGAAUUACUGGGCGUAAAGCGCGCGCAGGCGGCUAUCCAAGUCAGUGGUGAAAGCCCGGAGCUCAACUCCGGAACUGCCAUUGAAACUGUUUAGCUUGAGGACGAGAGAGGUGAGUGGAAUCCCCAGUGUAGAGGUGAAAUUCGUAGAUAUUGGGAAGAACACCGGUGGCGAAGGCGGCUCACUGGCUCGUAUCUGACGCUCAGGCGCGACAGCGUGGGGAUCGAAACAGG